UACGGGGGGGGCAAGCGUUGUUCGGAAUUACUGGGCGUAAAGGGCUCGUAGGCGGCCAACUAAGUCGGACGUGAAAUCCCCAGGCUCAACCUCGGGAACUGCGGUCCGAUACUGGAUGGCUUGAAUUCGGGAGAGGGAUGCAGGAAUUCCAGGUGUAGCGGUGAAAUGCGUAGAUAUCUGGAGGAAUACCGGUGGCGAAGGCGGCAUCCUGGACCGACAUUGACGCUGAGGAGCGAAAGCUGAGGGGAGCAAACGGGG
rnacentral:rRNA from 1 species